UUACUUACCUGGUGCCGGGGCCUCGUUGAUCACCGAGACGAGCCCCCAACGCGAGGCGUGGGCAUUGCACUGCGCUCGCGUUGACCCCUUCGCCCCUGUCCCUACCCCAAGCUGGGGCAGAUGGGACAUGAAAAUUGCUUGAAUCCGAUUCAAC
rnacentral:snRNA from 1 species